UGGGGAAUAUUGCACAAUGGGCGCAAGCCUGAUGCAGCAACGCCGCGUGAGGGACGACGGCCUUCGGGGUUGUAAACCUCUUUUAGUAGGGAANAAGCGAAAAGUGACGGUACCUGCAGAAAAAAGCACCGGCUAACUACGUGCCAGCAGCCGCGGUAAUACGUAGGGUGCGAGCGUUAUCCGGAAUUAUUGGGCGUAAAGAGCUCGUAGGCGGUCUGUCGCGUCUGCUGUGAAAACCCCGAGGCUCAACCUCGGGCCCUGCAGUGGGUACGGGCAGACUAGAGUGCGGUAGGGGAGAAUGGGAAUUCCUGGUGUAGCGGUGGAAUGCGCAGAUAUCAGGAGGAACACCGAUGGCGAA
rnacentral:rRNA from 1 species